rnacentral:rRNA from 1 species
UACGGAGGGUGCAAGCGUUAUCCGGAUUCACUGGGUUUAAAGGGCGCGUAGGCGGGUAUUUAAGUCAGUGGUGAAAUCCUAGAGCUUAACUCUAGAACUGCCAUUGAUACUAUUUAUCUUGAAUAUUGUGGAGGUAAGCGGAAUAUGUCAUGUAGCGGUGAAAUGCUUAGAUAUGACAUAGAACACCUAUUGCGAAGGCAGCUUACUACGCAUAUAUUGACGCUGAGGCACGAAAGCGUGGGGAUCAAACAGG